GUGAGACUUACAUUUUGGCGACGUGUUAAUUCUGAAUUGGGAAAUUACGACGCAAUGUCGUUAAAACAUAAAUGCAUCUGGUGAAGUUUUAAUUGAAUUUU